AACUGCAGAACAGUCAUAGGGGUGGCUCUCUCGACUGGUUGGUUGUGCAGUGCAGGACUGACUGACAAGCCGAGUGUAGGGUGGAGUGGCAGGGUGUGGUUAGGGUCAGGGCAGCUGGGGAGGAGAACAUAACUGUGAGGAAACAGAAAGGAGGAAAAUAACCCAGAGAAGGGACGAACGAAAGAUACACUGCGGGGGCACAAAAGCGUCUAGAGAAUUCCUGCAGCAAGGACCAUUAGGGGCACAGAACCCCACCCCUGAACACACCCUCUGAGCGCAGCACUGGGCGACCGCCGACACCGCCAGCAACAUGAGCGCAGAAAACUACUUAAUUUGCGCUAAGACAUGAAGGUUUCUACUGCAAUGUUCCUAUAGAUUGUAUACAUUGCGUGCAGCAGGGCCCCACCCCAUAAACACACCCAUAAUGUACUGAGGAGGAGGGGAGGGUGACAAAAACGAACGAGAGGAGCAGCCUGGCCACUGAAGCCCUACACUGCCAGCAAAAGCUUGCAUAAUUUGCAGAGUAGAAAGUCAUCCUGCCCGGGGACUGCAACUGAAGAGAAGAACCUGAGCGUGCUGAGCCGCGGGCGAUGCAUCCGGAGACGCAGACGGCCUACAGUUCCUCUCUGCCGAUGUCCUCAUGCAAAAUUGACACUGAAACAUCCGCUCCAUCUCUUCUAAGUGACAUCAAGAUGGAGCCACCUGAGCAACUUCUGGACAGUGACUGCAGUAUGCCACAGGCUGAACCUGUUGACCUCUCUCUACAUAAGCCUAAAAUCUCUAUUCACAGAUCUCAGAGUCCUUCACCUACCAGCUCCACAUCACCCAAUAUGCUUCUGUCAGCAGCGCCUCCAGUGAUCUCGUUGUCUGGUCUUGGUUCAGCGGUUCCUGCUGUGCUUUCCCCUGGAUCAAUUUUGGCAUCAACACAAGGCAGUAGUGGACAGCAGAUCCUUCAUGUUAUUCAUACUAUCCCUUCAGUUAAUUUACCUACUAAAAUGGGUAGUUUGCAAACGAUUCCUGUUGUAGUGCAGUCACUGCCUGUUGUAUACACAGCACUGCCCACAGAUGGUGUCACUGCAGCUAUCACUGUUCCAUUAAUAGGGGCUGAUGGGAAAACAGGAGGGACUAGUGCUUUAAGGAUACAUACUCCGGUGUCUGAAGUAGAUGAAUCAGAUUUGAGGGCUGAUCAGUCACCAUGUGAUCUUGGCUUACCACAUAAUUCAGCAAAAGCUGAUCCAGACUCAAUGUCACCAGUGGAGAUAAAUAGUGAUAGUGAUGAGAGCCUUGUGGAGAGCUCAUCUUCUUUACAGGAUGUAACACACAGUUCCUGCCUCAUUCGGAUGCAGCACAGCGGUGCAGGUUCUCCAGAUUUAAGGAAAAGAAGAGUUCAUCAAUGUGAUUUUGAAGGUUGCAACAAAGUAUAUACUAAGAGUUCACAUCUAAAAGCCCACAGGAGGAUACACACAGUCCAUUCCUCUUCGUACAGUCCAUUCCUCUACGUGCAGUACAGUCCUCUACGUGCAGUCCAGUCCUCUACCUGCAGUCCAGUCCUCUAUGUGCAGUUCAACAGUUCAGUACCACAACACACAGGGGUAGUGUCCAUAGCUAGAGAAUAUGCCUCCAAUAAAUAAAAUAAAAAAAAUUCUCUUAAAACAAAGAAGGAAAUCAUCCAAAAAUAUGAGAGUGGUAUGAAGAUAAGCCAGUUAGUUCAAAAGUUUGGUUUCUCACAAUCAACAGUUUCUACAAUUGUUAAGAGCUGAGACGUGAUUAACAUCAUUAAAAUCACGGAUCAGUCAACCAUAGUGUGCAAGGGCAGAGAUGGUAUUGUUGAGAUGGAGAGGCUGUUGUAUUUGUGGAUUAAGGAAAAGACACUGUUCCUGGACACUUUAUCUGUGCACGUGCAAAAUGCAUUUUUGAAGAGCUGAAAGCAAAGGCAGAAUCAAGCGGUGAUUCUGCUUCUACAAAUCGGUAUGAAACAUUUAGAGCCAGCAAAGGUUGAUUUGAACGUUUCAAGCAAAGGUGUGAGGUGAAGAGUGUCAUACGACAUGGAGAGGCAGCUAGUGUAAAUCACGAAGCAGCUGAUUCUUUUAAGAUGGAAUUUCAGCGUCUCAUGGAGGAUGAAGGCUACCUUCCACAACAAGUUUUCAAUUGUGAUGAAACAGGUCUGUUCUGGAAGAAAAUGCCAAAGCGAACAUUUAUCACCAGAGAAGAAGCCAGCAUUCAUGGACAUAAGCCUAUGAAAGAUCGACUAACCCUUUUGGUGGGUGCAAAUGCAUCAGGAGAUUUUAAGUUGAAACCAAUGUUGGUUUAUCAUUCAGACACACCUAGAGCCUUCAAACAGAAGAAAAUCAUCAAGGCCAAUCUAGGAGGGUUUUGGCGCUGUAAAAAAAAAGGCCUGGGUGACCAGACAUGUUUUUAAUGAAUCGGCAAUAGAAGUUUUUUGUCCUUCAGUUAAGGCAUACCUGGAGAGAAACAGACUGCCUCUAAAAGCAAUGCUGCUGUUAGAUCAUGCUCCUGGCCAUGACCCAGCACUGGCAGAAUCAUUAGAUGCUCAGUUUAGCUUUAUUACAGUAACAUUUCUUCCUCCAAACACCACACCUCUUCUUCAACCCAUGGACCAACAGGUCAUCUCACAUUUUAAGAAGUUAUACACUAAGAAGAUGUUUACAAAAUGCUUUGAAGUAGACAAAAAUCUGACCCUCAAAGAAUUUUGGAAAACACAAUUCACCAUCUUGGACUGUGUUAGGCUCAUUGUGAGUGCUUGGAAUGAUGUUUCCAUUUGUGUGCUUAAUUCUGCUUGGAAACCUUUGUGGCCUUCUGUUGUGCAUGAGGCAGAUGUUUCUGUAGCACAAGAAGAUUCCAUUGAGACGGAAAUUGUCACUCUGGGGCAGGCUAUGGGUCUGGAAGUGAAUGAAGGUGAUGUGGAGGAAAUUAUUCAAGAUCAUGAGGUGGAACUGACAACAGAAGAGCUAAUUGAACUUGAAAAAUCAACAGAGCAUGACAGUGGAGAAGAGGAAAAUUGUGAGGAUGACCAUGUUGUCACAGUUCAAGAACUAAAGGAUCUGUUUUCUUCCUGGGAAGUUGUGAAGUUGUCCGAAAACACCCAGACAUUACUCUUACUGAUCUUAAAACCUGUGACUAUGAGGAUAAAGUGCUGAGCUACUUUAAAAACCUGAAGAAAAAAUGGCAGAGACAAACCACAUUGGACUCCUUUUUCAAAAGGCCACGGAAGGAUCCUGACCCUGCUUCUAACAGCACCAGAAGGACCGGAACCAACCCUGAUGAUGCUUCCUUCCUUCCAGAUGUGACUAUCCAGCUUCUAUAAAAACAACACCAGAAGGACAGGAACAGACUCUUCCAUCCUUCCAGAAGUUGACCAGUUUGCAGUUUACCCGUUCCCAGUUGCCUCCUUCUGUAAAGGACUGGAACCAUGCCUGAUGAUGCUUCCAUCCUUCCAGAUGUGACUAUCCAGCUUCUUUAAAAACAGCACCAGAAGGACAGGAACAGACUCUUCCAUCCUUCCAGAAGUUGACCAGUUUGCAGUUUACCAGUUUACAGUUUACCCGUUCCCAGUUGCCUCCUUCUGUAAAGGACCGGAACCAUGCCGGAUGAUGCUUCCAUCCUUCCAGAUGUGCCUAUCCAGCUUCUUUAAGUGAACAUGGUUUAGUUGCUGCUUAUUUUUCUUCUUUCUUCAUGUUUUCUUACUUUAGAUUUUUUGUUUCAGUAGCACCAGAAGGACAAGAAGUUGCACCAGUUUCCAGUUGCCUCCUACAAAGGACCGGAACCAACCCUGAUGAUGCUUCCAUCCUUCUAGAAGUGACCAUCCAGCUUCUAUAAAAAUCUCGGGAAGUGGAUUUGGAUGAACUCUCAAUUGUUACCGAAACAGUUACAACUUGUUCCAAAUAGACUUCUGACAAUAGUUUUGAAGAUUUAGAAGAGGAAGAUGAAGUAUUUCAAAUAGAAAAUGCUGCUCACCGUCAACAAUUAACUGAAAACACGGCUUUUCAGAAUUAUUUGUUACGGUUACAACAGAUCAAGAAAACAGAAUGGAACCGUAUUCAUUUCAAAACGAUCCCCAGUGGGGUCCGGGUGAAGAAAGACCAACACCCUUACCAGAUCCUCAGGGAAGACUACAGCAGCUUAGUUGGUGCAAAUACAAUACAGAUGGACUGCAUAUAAAUCUUUCACUGCGAUGAUCUAUGGAUUUCUUUGAAAAAAACAUCGAGUACCUAUACCCUCCUGCGUCAUAAACAAAAUUAGAGAGACAUUUCCAGAUGCUGAUGCAAUUUAUACUGGUUUUCAGUUGUUUACUGAUUAUAAUGUAAAUAGUGCUCCAUUUGCACAGAACUUUUAGAAAAAAAAAAUUCUAUAAAGAUUUGUUUAAUCUUUUGUAAAAUGUUUGUACUGUAUUGCACAAAUUGUUACACUAUGGAUGAAAACACGUGCUAGUACUGUAACCUAAAUCCUUUCUCCUCCGCUGUCUGCCGUCAGAAAAAAUAUACAAAAUAAUCUUGCGCUUACCUGCCUAGGCUCUCCCGUUGUUCUGAAAUCGGCAUACUGUUCUCUGGUACCUGUAGGUUCCUUUUCCUGCGGGUUGGUCACUCAGUCUGCACUCGGCGUAUCAGUGGCUGCUAUAUGUUCCUGAUGCUGCCGCUGAUGGGCUGAGCGCAGAGUGAGUCAAUAACCUGCAAGAAUAGGAAGCUGACAGGGACCAUAAAAUGUGACGCCGAUAUCUGAACAAUGUGUGACCAUAGGCAGCUAAGUCACAUAUUAUGUAGUAUAGAAUGUCAUCCUGGCCACAGCGGGAGAUAAAAGAUUUUUGAUUACAGUAAUCCUUUAUAAAAAUUAUUUUAUGCACUUUAUUAAAUAACAAAAUAUUAACAUUAUAUAUAUUUUUUAAAGUUUUUAUAUUUAAAAAUUGUUUGUUUAA